ACAGAAGAAUGACACCCUGACCCGAAUGAGGCACAAGGUUUUGGACACAGGUUGGGUGAAUCUUUUGGCUCCUAACCUGGAUCAGAUCCUCAGUGUUUGCGCAACGAUGGAGAACUGGCUGCAAACACAUCCGAAGCAUGUCCUGGUUUUACACUGCAGGGGAGAGAAAGGCCGGCUCGGAGUUCUGGUGGCUUCUUACAUCCACUACAGCAACAUUACAGCCAGGUAACACUGACGCCGUGUGACAAACGUGUAAAUACGCAUCCUCCUGG